UACAGAGGUCUCAAGCGUUGUUCGGAUUCAUUGGGCGUAAAGGGUGUGUAGGUGGCGCCGUAAGUCGGGUGUGAAAUUUCGGAGCUUAACUCCGAAACUGCAUUCGAUACUGCGGUGCUUGAGGACUGGAGAGGAGACUGGAAUUCAUGGUGUAGCAGUGAAAUGCGCAGAUAUCAGGAGGAACACCGGUGGCGAAGGCGGGUCUCUGGCCCGUAACUGACGCUCAUGCACGACAGCGUGGGGAUCAAACAGG
rnacentral:rRNA from 1 species